ensembl:snRNA U6 U6 spliceosomal RNA
GUGUAAAAGCCACAGGGCAGCACAGAUACUAGAAUUGGAACGAUACAGAGAUUAGCAUGGUCCCUGUGCAAAGAGGACAUGCAAAUCAUGAAUGCUUUCAUAUUUGG